UUUGAUCCUGGCUCAGGAUGAACGCUGGCGGUAUGCUUAACACAUGCAAGUCGAACGGGAUGCUUAGGCAUCUAGUGGCGGACGGGUGAGUAACGCGUGAGAAUCUGGCUCCAGGUCGGGGAUAACAGUUGGAAACGACUGCUAAUACCGGAUGUGCCGAAAGGUGAAAGAUUUAUUGCCUGGAGAUGAGCUCGCGUCUGAUUAGCUAGUUGGUGGUGUAAGGGACCACCAAGGCAUCGAUCAGUAGCUGGUCUGAGAGGAUGAUCAGCCACACUGGGACUGAGACACGGCCCAGACUCCUACGGGAGGCAGCAGUGGGGAAUUUUCCGCAAUGGGCGAAAGCCUGACGGAGCAAUACCGCGUGAGGGAGGAAGGCUCUUGGGUCGUAAACCUCUUUUCUCAAGGAAGAAGAAAGUGACGGUACUUGAGGAAUAAGCAUCGGCUAACUCCGUGCCAGCAGCCGCGGUAAUACGGAGGAUGCAAGCGUUAUCCGGAAUGAUUGGGCGUAAAGGGUCUGCAGGUGGAACUGAAAGUCUGCUGUUAAAGAGUUUGGCUUAACCAAAUAAAAGCGGUGGAAACUACAGAACUAGAGUGUGGUAGGGGCAAAAGGAAUUCCUGGUGUAGCGGUGAAAUGCGUAGAUAUCAGGAAGAACACCGGUGGCGAAAGCGUUUUGCUAGACCAUAACUGACACUGAGGGACGAAAGCUAGGGGAGCGAAUGGGAUUAGAUACCCCAGUAGUCCUAGCCGUAAACGAUGGAUACUAGGCGUGGCUUGUAUCGACCCGAGCCGUGCCGGAGCUAACGCGUUAAGUAUCCCGCCUGGGGAGUACGCACGCAAGUGUGAAACUCAAAGGAAUUGACGGGGGCCCGCACAAGCGGUGGAGUAUGUGGUUUAAUUCGAUGCAACGCGAAGAACCUUACCAAGACUUGACAUCCUGCGAAUCCUGGUGAAAGCUGGGAGUGCCUUCGGGAGCGCAGAGACAGGUGGUGCAUGGCUGUCGUCAGCUCGUGUCGUGAGAUGUUGGGUUAAGUCCCGCAACGAGCGCAACCCUCGUUUUUAGUUGCCCGCAUUAAGUUGGGCACUCUAGAGAGACUGCCGGUGACAAACCGGAGGAAGGUGAGGAUGACGUCAAGUCAGCAUGCCCCUUACGUCUUGGGCUACACACGUACUACAAUGCUACGGACAGAGGGCAGCAAGCCAGGGAUGGCAAGCGAAUCCAGAAACCGUAGCUCAGUUCAGAUCGAAGGCUGCAACUCGCCUUCGUGAAGGAGGAAUCGCUAGUAAUUGCAGGUCAGCAUACUGCAGUGAAUUCGUUCCCGGGCCUUGUACACACCGCCCGUCACACCAUGGAAGUUGGUCACGCCCGAAGUCAUUACCCCAACCGAAAGGAGGGGGAUGCCUAAGGUAGGACU
rnacentral:rRNA from 1 species